rnacentral:rRNA from 1 species
ACUUUAAUUGAAGAGUUUGAUCAUGGCUCAGAUUGAACGCUGGCGGCAGGCCUAACACAUGCAAGUCGAGCGGUAACAUUUCAAAAGCUUGCUUUUGAAGAUGACGAGCGGCGGACGGGUGAGUAAUGCCUGGGAAUUUGC